GUACACGCUGUGACUAGCAUAUCAAUAAGCGGAGGAAAAGAAACUAACAAGGAUUCCCCUAGUAACGGCGAGUGAAGCGGGAAGAGCUCAAAUUUGAAAUCUUAAAGGGUUUCCCUUUACGAAUUGUAGUUUAAAGAAGUGUUUUCUGUUGAGGUUUUGGUAAAAGUUCUUUGGAAUAGGACAUCAUAGAGGGUGAGAAUCCCGUAUUUGACCUUUACUUUCAACUUUGUGAUACACUUUCAAAGAGUCGGAUUGUUUGGGAAUGCAGUCCAAAAUGGGUGGUAAAUUUCAUCUAAAGCUAAAUAUUGGCGAGAGACCGAUAGCGAACAAGUACCGUGAGGGAAAGAUGAAAAGAACUUUGAAAAGAGAGUUAAACAGUACGUGAAAUUGUCAAAAGGGAAGCGUUUGACACCAGUGUUGUUUUUCUGAAAAUCAAUUAAAGAACUGUUUAUGCUAAGCUGUUUAGACUUUAUCAGCUAUCUGUUUAGUUUUGAGCUUUUCUUUAAUGCACUUUUCAGUUAACAAGUCAACAUCAAUUUCUUUUGCUGUAAAAAAGCUUGAGGAAGGUGGCUUGAGAUUCGUCUUAAGUGUUUAUAGCCUCUUGCCUAUGCAGUCGGAGAGAUUGAGGUCUGCAGCGUAGAUCCUUCGGGGCUAAAUGCAUUUGUGCUAAGUCAUAGCAUUUUAUAGACAACUUGUUGACUAUGAUUUGUCUUGUAGCUUACUCGCUUAUGUUAUUUUACCUACGCUUAGGAUGUUGACGCGCGUGUGUGCGUG
rnacentral:rRNA from 1 species